GACCGCUCCGAUGGCCUAGUGGGUAGAGUGUCCACAUUGGAUAUGGGAAAUCCCAGGUUCGAACCCUGGCAGAGUCA